rnacentral:rRNA from 1 species
UGGUGGAGUGAUUUGUCUGGUUAAUUCCGUUAACGAACGAGACCUCAGCCUGCUAACUAGUUACACGAAGAUUUUUCUCCGUGGCCAAUCUUCUUAGAGGGACUAUUGGCGUAUAGCCAUGUGGAAGUUUGAGGCAAUAACA